AAGUCGUAACAAGGUUUCCGUAGGUGAACCUGCGGAAGGAUCAUUAACACGUAUCCAAACGUUAAAACCCCCCCCGUGAACCUUCAUCCUGCUCUUGUAACCCGCGUAGUUCGCAAUCUCUGACAAAUCAUAGCCCGGAAAGUUGUAGUGAUUCAGAGACCUCUGGCUACGUGCGAACAUUGGAACAGUUACAAUUUCUACGAUUCCUGUAGACCGUACACUCGGGCAGGAGCUUUGCCAAAGGGUCCCCAUGCCCCCUAAUAACCCCACAGUUUAAUGUGAAGCUCAAUGUAAUACAUUGGGUAAAAAAACCGAACAACUGUUAACAAUAGAUAUCUUGGUUCUC
rnacentral:misc_RNA from 1 species